rnacentral:rRNA from 1 species
UACAGAGGUCCCAAGCGUUGUUCGGAUUCAUUGGGCGUAAAGGGUGCGUAGGCGGUGCCGCAAGUCAGAUGUGAAAUCUCGGGGCUUAACCCCGAAACUGCAUUUGAUACUGCGGUGCUCGAGGACUGGAGAGGAGACUGGAAUUCACGGUGUAGCAGUGAAAUGCGUAGAUAUCGGGAGGAACACCUGUGGCGAAAGCGGCGCACUGGACCAUAACUGACGCUGAUGCGCGAAAGCUAGGGGAGCAAACAGG